GACGAACGCUGGCGGCGUGCCUAAUACAUGCAAGUCGAACGAACCGCGACUAGGUGCUUGCACUUGGUCAAGGUGAGUGGCGAACGGGUGAGUAACACGUGGGUAACCUACCUCAUAGUGGGGGAUAACAGUCGGAAACGACUGCUAAUACCGCAUAGGACAUAGGAUCACAUGAUUCUGUGAGGAAAGGUGGCGCAAGCUAUCGCUAAGAGAUGGACCCGCGAUGCAUUAGCUAGUUGGUAGGGUAAAGGCCUACCAAGGCGAUGAUGCAUAGCCGACCUGAGAGGGUGAUCGGCCACAUUGGGACUGAGACACGGCCCAAACUCCUACGGGAGGCAGCAGUAGGGAAUCUUCCGCAAUGGACGCAAGUCUGACGGAGCAACGCCGCGUGAGUGAAGAAGGUCUUCGGAUCGUAAAGCUCUGUUGUUAGAGAAGAACAGCGCAUAGAGUAACUGUUAUGCGUGUGACGGUAUCUAACCAGAAAGCCACGGCUAACUACGUG
rnacentral:rRNA from 1 species